rnacentral:rRNA from 1 species
CAGUAGCCGCGGUAACACGGAGGGUGCAAGCGUUAUCCGGAUUUAUUGGGUUUAAAGGGUCCGUAGGCGGAUCUGUAAGUCAGUGGUGAAAUCUCACAGCUUAACUGUGAAACUGCCAUUGAUACUGCAGGUCUUGAGUAAAUUUGAAGUGGCUGGAAUAAGUAGUGUAGCGGUGAAAUGCAUAGAUAUUACUUAGAACACCAAUUGCGAAGGCAGGUCACUAAGAUUUAACUGACGCUGAUGGACGAAAGCGUGGGGAGCGAACAGGAUUAGAUACCCGAGUAGUCCCUGUCUCUUAUAA